rnacentral:rRNA from 1 species
GAUGAACGCUGGCGGCGUGCUUAACACAUGCAAGUCGAGCGAUGAAGUUUCCUUCGGGAAACGGAUUAGCGGCGGACGGGUGAGUAACACGUGGGUAACCUGCCUCAUAGAGUGGAAUAGCCUUCCGAAAGGAAGAUUAAUACCGCAUAACGUUGAAAGAUGGCAUCAUCAUUCAACCAAAGGAGCAAUCCGCUAUGAGAUGGACCCGCGGCGCAUUAGCUAGUUGGUGGGGUAACGGCCUACCAAGGCGACGAUGCGUAGCCGACCUGAGAGGGUGAUCGGCCACAUUGGGACUGAGACACGGCCCAGACUCCUACGGGAGGCAGCAGUGGGGAAUAUUGCACAAUGGGGGAAACCCUGAUGCAGCAACGCCGCGUGAGUGAUGAAGGUUUUCGGAUCGUAAAGCUCUGUCUUUGGGGAAGAUAAUGACGGUACCCAAGGAGGAAGCCACGGCUAACUACGUGCCAGCAGCCGCGGUAACAC